rnacentral:rRNA from 1 species
UACGGAGGGGGCUAGCGUUGUUCGGAAUUACUGGGCGUAAAGCGCACGUAGGCGGCUUUGUAAGUUAGAGGUGAAAGCCCGGGGCUCAACUCCGGAAUUGCCUUUAAGACUGCAUCGCUCGAAUUGUGGAGAGGUAAGUGGAAUUCCGAGUGUAGAGGUGAAAUUCGUAGAUAUUCGCAAGAACACCAGUGGCGAAGGCGGCUCACUGGCCCGAUACUGACGCUGAGGCACGAAAGCGUGGGGAGCAAACAGG